UGUCACCUCCAGUUUCCAUUUUAAAUUGUAAAAUUUCCAAAUUUGGAGACAAGCAGAUAUUUUUCUCAUCUUGAAAAGGAGGAGCGAGCGUUAGCUAGCUGAUUAGCCGUAGGUGGGAAACGAACCAUCUCUAAUAAAAACAGUAACUUUUAGAGAAACUCUGGGGAAGUUCUGUAGUCCCACCCUGCCCCGUGACCUUUCAUUCUCUUAGUUCUUCUGCCACAGAGAAGCACCGAUCGACUAAUAAAAGAUUUGAUCUUGCUAUAAUUUCCCAAGCAGCAACAUGGAUGGAGACAGAUAAAGGAACUAACAGGAACAGAAAACCAAAUGCUGCAUAUUCUCACUUCUAAGUGG
rnacentral:lncRNA from 1 species